rnacentral:lncRNA from 1 species
CCGUGGAGGGAUCUAUGGUGGGUUUCGAACACGCCGGCCAGAGUGAACUUCUGGUGACAUCGGGAUUUUCUAUUCCAAUCGUGUUCGUCGGAGUUGGGGCUUUGUGCUCCUUGCAUCUUCUCACCCUCGCUUUAGUUCUAUUCUCUUAGAUUUAGAUCUCGAUCUGGAUUGAGCUGUGCUUUGUUUGCUUGAUUUUGUCUUAGCCAUUGUUGUUAGGUACCGUCGUUUCUCCGACGUCGAGAUGUACUCUCCGACCCCCUUUUGGGAUGUUUUUUUAAUAUAUUGAAAAAAAAAAAAAAAGGUUCGGUGGAUAAUCUGAUA